rnacentral:misc_RNA from 1 species
AAGUCGUAACAAGGUUUCCGUAGGUGAACCUGCGGAAGGAUCAUUAACACGUAGCCCCAAACUACAAACCCCUGUGAACUUGUCUGCAAGGUGUGCGAGAUUCGAUGGCCUAAAUCAGCCGCCGUAUGCUGACUAGGCUGUUGCUAAGUGUUAGGGCUGGUCUGCGUGACUUGCAUUGCACGAAGCAUCUCCACACUGCAGUACGGCCCCCUUUUUUUGCUCGUUUACCAAUUGAACUAAACUUUGCGAGAAGAAAUCAAAGCAACCGAAAGGUUUCUUUGACGAUUCUCUGCUUUGCAAACUGUUACAACUCUUAGCAACGGAUAUCUUGGCUCUC